UGCAAGUCGAGCGGACAGAUGGGAGCUUGCUCCCUGAUGUUAGCGGCGGACGGGUGAGUAACACGUGGGUAACCUGCCUGUAAGACUGGGAUAACUCCGGGAAACCGGGGCUAAUACCGGAUGCUUGAUUGAACCGCAUGGUUCAAUUAUAAAAGGUGGCUUUUAGCUACCACUUACAGAUGGACCCGCGGCGCAUUAGCUAGUUGGUGAGGUAACGGCUCACCAAGGCAACGAUGCGUAGCCGACCUGAGAGGGUGAUCGGCCACACUGGGACUGAGACACGGCCCAGACUCCUACGGGAGGCAGCAGUAGGGAAUCUUCCGCAAUGGACGAAAGUCUGACGGAGCAACGCCGCGUGAGUGAUGAAGGUUUUCGGAUCGUAAAACUCUGUUGUUAGGGAAGAACAAGUACCGUUCGAAUAGGGCGGUACCUUGACGGUACCUAACCAGAAAGCCACGGCUAACUACGUGCCAGCAGCCGCGGUAAUACGUAGGUGGCAAGCGUUGUCCGGAAUUAUUGGGCGUAAAGCGCGCGCAGGCGGUUUCUUAAGUCUGAUGUGAAAGCCCCCGGCUCAACCGGGGAGGGUCAUUGGAAACUGGGGAACUUGAGUGCAGAAGAGGAGAGUGGAAUUCCACGUGUAGCGGUGAAAUGCGUAGAGAUGUGGAGGAACACCAGUGGCGAAGGCGACUCUCUGGUCUGUAACUGACGCUGAGGCGCGAAAGCGUGGGGAGC
rnacentral:rRNA from 1 species